rnacentral:lncRNA from 1 species
CUGAGAAAGAAGUUUGCCCAAACGAUACUUCAAAAGGCAAGGAGAGCCAAGCUCAGUGACUCACACCUGUAAUCCCAGCACUUUGGGAGGGCCGAUCACCUGAGGUCAGGAGUUCAAGACCAGCCUAGCCAACAUGGAGAAACCUCAUCUCUACUAAAAAUACAAAAAUUAGCCGGGCGUGGUAGCAGGCACCUGUGAUCCCAGCUACUCGGGAGGCUGAGGCAUGAGAAUUGCCUGAACUCAGGAGGCAGAAGUUGCAGUAAGCCAAGAGCACACCAUUCAUUGCACUCUAGCCUGGAAAACAAGAGCAAAACUCUGUCUCAAAAAAAAAAAAGAAAGAAAGAAAGGCGAGGAGGAAGCUUAUCUAUGGAAAAGUGAAGCACUAUCACAAGGAAUAUAGGCAGAUAGAUAGAACUGAGAUUCAACUGGCUCAGAUGGCAAGCAAAGCUGGCAACCUCUAUGUACCUGCAGAACCCAACCAAGUUGGCGGUCAUCAGAAUCAGAGGUAUCAAUGUGUGAGCCCACAGGACCAAAAGGUAUUGCAACUUUUUCACCUUUGUCAAAUCUUCAAUGGAAGCUUUGUGAAGCUCAACAAGGCUUCCACUAACAUGCUGAGGAUUGUAGAACCAUAUAUUGCAUGGGGGUACCCAAAUAUGAAGUCAGUAAAUGAACUAAUCUGUAAGUGUGGUUAUGACAAAAUUAAUAAGAAGUGAGCUGCCUUGACAGAGAACACUUUGAUUGCUUGACCUCUUGGUAAAUACAGCAUCAUCUGCAUGGAGGUUCUGAUUCAUGAGAUCUAUACUGUUGGAAAACUCUUCAAAAAAGCAAAUAACUUCCUGUGGCCCUUCAAAUUAUCCUCUCCAUGAGGUGGAAUGAAGAAAAAGACCACCCAUUUUGUAGAAAAUGAAUGUUGGCAACAGGGAAGACUACAUCAAUAGGCUUAUUAGAAGGAUGAAC